rnacentral:rRNA from 1 species
GGGACACGUGGUAUCCUGUCUGAAUAUGGGGGGACCAUCCUCCAAGGCUAAAUACUCCUGACUGACCGAUAGUGAACCAGUACCGUGAGGGAAAGGCGAAAAGAACCCCGGCGAGGGGAGUGAAAAAGAACCUGAAACCGUGUACGUACAAGCAGUGGGAGCCUCUUAAUGGGGUGACUGCGUACCUUUUGUAUAAUGGGUCAGCGACUUAUAUUCUGUAGCAAGGUUAACCGAAUAGGGGAGCCGAAGGGAAACCGAGUCUUAACUGGGCGUUAAGUUGCAGGGUAUAGACCCGAAACCCGGUGAUCUAGCCAUGGGCAGGUUGAAGGUUGGGUAACACUAACUGGAGGACCGAACCGACUAAUGUUGAAAAAUUAGCGGAUGACUUGUGGCUGGGGGUGAAAGGCCAAUCAAACCGGGAGAUAGCUGGUUCUCCCCGAAAGCUAUUUAGGUAGCGCCUCGUGAAUUCAUCUCCGGGGGUAGAGCACUGUUUCGGCAAGGGGGUCAUCCCGACUUACCAACCCGAUGCAAACUGCGAAUACCGGAGAAUGUUAUCACGGGAGACACACGGCGGGUGCUAACGUCCGUCGUGAAGAGGGAAACAACCCAGACCGCCAGCUAAGGUCCCAAAGUCAUGGUUAAGUGGGAAACGAUGUGGGAAGGCCCAGACAGCCAGGAUGUUGGCUUAGAAGCAGCCAUCAUUUAAAGAAAGCGUAAUAGCUCACUGGUCGAGUCGGCCUGCGCGGAAGAUGUAACGGGGCUAAACCAUGCACCGAAGCUGCGGCAGCGACACUAUGUGUUGUUGGGUAGGGGAGCGUUCUGUAAGCCUGUGAAGGUGGCCUGUGAGGGUUGCUGGAGGUAUCAGAAGUGCGAAUGCUGACAUAAGUAACGAUAAAGCGGGUGAAAAGCCCGCUCGCCGGAAGACCAAGGGUUCCUGUCCAACGUUAAUCGGGGCAGGGUGAGUCGACCCCUAAGGCGAGGCCGAAAGGCGUAGUCGAUGGGAAACAGGUUAAUAUUCCUGUACUUGGUGUUACUGCGAAGGGGGGACGGAGAAGGCUAUGUUGGCCGGGCGACGGUUGUCCCGGUUUAAGCGUGUAGGCUGGUUUUCCAGGCAAAUCCGGAAAAUCAAGGCUGAGGCGUGAUGACGAGGCACUACGGUGCUGAAGCGACAAAUGCCCUGCUUCCAGGAAAAGCCUCUAAGCAUCAGGUAACAUCAAAUCGUACCCCAAACCGACACAGGUGGUCAGGUAGAGAAUACCAAGGCGCUUGAGAGAACUCGGGUGAAGGAACUAGGCAAAAUGGUGCCGUAACUUCGGGAGAAGGCACGCUGAUAUGUAGGUGAAGCGACUUGCUCGUGGAGCUGAAAUCAGUCGAAGAUACCAGCUGGCUGCAACUGUUUAUUAAAAACACAGCACUGUGCAAACACGAAAGUGGACGUAUACGGUGUGACGCCUGCCCGGUGCCGGAAGGUUAAUUGAUGGGGUUAGCGGUAACGCGAAGCUCUUGAUCGAAGCCCCGGUAAACGGCGGCCGUAACUAUAACGGUCCUAAGGUAGCGAAAUUCCUUGUCGGGUAAGUUCCGACCUGCACGAAUGGCGUAAUGAUGGCCAGGCUGUCUCCACCCGAGACUCAGUGAAAUUGAACUCGCUGUGAAGAUGCAGUGUACCCGCGGCAAGACGGAAAGACCCCGUGAACCUUUACUAUAGCUUGACACUGAACAUUGAGCCUUGAUGUGUAGGAUAGGUGGGAGGCUUUGAAGUGUGGACGCCAGUCUGCAUGGAGCCGACCUUGAAAUACCACCCUUUAAUGUUUGAUGUUCUAACGUGGGCCCCUAAUCGGGGUUGCGGACAGUGUCUGGUGGGUAGUUUGACUGGGGCGGUCUCCUCCUAAAGAGUAACGGAGGAGCACGAAGGUUGGCUAAUCCUGGUCGGACAUCAGGAGGUUAGUGCAAUGGCAUAAGCCAGCUUGACUGCGAGCGUGACGGCGCGAGCAGGUGCGAAAGCAGGUCAUAGUGAUCCGGUGGUUCUGAAUGGAAGGGCCAUCGCUCAACGGAUAAAAGGUACUCCGGGGAUAACAGGCUGAUACCGCCCAAGAGUUCAUAUCGACGGCGGUGUUUGGCACCUCGAUGUCGGCUCAUCACAUCCUGGGGCUGAAGUAGGUCCCAAGGGUAUGGCUGUUCGCCAUUUAAAGUGGUACGCGAGCUGGGUUUAGAACGUCGUGAGACAGUUCGGUCCCUAUCUGCCGUGGGCGCUGGAGAACUGAGGGGGGCUGCUCCUAGUACGAGAGGACCGGAGUGGACGCAUCACUGGUGUUCGGGUUGUCAUGCCAAUGGCACUGCCCGGUAGCUAAAUGCGGAAGAGAUAAGUGCUGAAAGCAUCUAAGCACGAAACUUGCCCCGAGAUGAGUUCUCCCUGACUCCUUGAGAGUCCUGAAGGAACGUUGAAGACGACGACGUUGAUAGGCCGGGUGUGUAAGCGCAGCGAUGCGUUGAGCUAACCGGUACUAAUGAACCGUGAGG